rnacentral:rRNA from 1 species
AUGCCUUACACAUGCAAGUCGAACGGUAACGGGCCUUCGGGCGCCGACGAGUGGCGAACGGGUGAGUAAUGCAUCGGAACGUACCUUUCAGUGGGGGAUAACGUAGCGAAAGUUACGCUAAUACCGUAUAUUCUGUGAGCAGGAAAGCAGGGGAUCGCAAGACCUUGCGCUGAUUGAGCGGCCGAUGUCAGAUUAGCUAGUUGGUGAGGUAAAGGCUCACCAAGGCGACGAUCUGUAGCGGGUCUGAGAGGAUGAUCCGCCACACUGGAACUGAGACACGGUCCAGACUCCUACGGGAGGCAGCAGUGGGGAAUUUUGGACAAUGGGGGCAACCCUGAUCCAGCCAUGCCGCGUGAGUGAAGAAGGCCUUCGGGUUGUAAAGCUCUUUCGGCCGGGAAGAAAUCGUAUGGGCUAAUACCCUGUGCGGAUGACGGUACCGGCAUAAGAAGCACCGGCUAACUACGUG